GCCGCCGUAGCUCAGCGGGUAGAGCGCCGGACUCAUAAUCCGGAGGUCCCGGGUUCAAAUCCCGGCGGCGGCA
rnacentral:tRNA from 1 species